ACGAUUGACGGAGCGAAGCGACGUCAAUGCGUUUUACAAAGUCGAGUUGGCUUAGGGAUACGUUCGUUGGGUAGGGGAGCGUUCUGUAAGCCUGCGAAGGUGGCCUGUGAGGGUUGCUGGAGGUAUCAGAAGUGCGAAUGCUGACAUAAGUAACGAUAAAGCGGGUGAAAAGCCCGCUCGCCGGAAGACCAAGGGUUCCUGUCCAACGUUAAUCGGGGCAGGGUGAGUCGACCCCUAAGGCGAGGCCGAAAGGCGUAGUCGAUGGGAAACGGGUUAAUAUUCCCGUACUUGGUGUUACUGCGAAGGGGGGACGGAGAAGGCUAUGUUGGCCGGGCGACGGUUGUCCCGGUUUAAGCAUGUAGGCGGAUGUUCCAGGUAAAUCCGGAACGUUACUAACGCUGAGGUGUGAUGACGAGGCACCACGGUGCUGAAGCAACAAAUGCCCUGCUUCCAGGAAAAGCCUCUAAGCAUCAGGUAACAUCAAAUCGUACCCCAAACCGACACAGGUGGUCAGGUAGAGAAUACCAAGGCGCUUGAGAGAACUCGGGUGAAGGAACUAGGCAAAAUGGUGCCGUAACUUCGGGAGAAGGCACGCUGACACGUAGGUGAAGUGGUUUACCCAUGGAGCUGAAGUCAGUCGAAGAUACCAGCUGGCUGCAACUGUUUAUUAAAAACACAGCACUGUGCAAACACGAAAGUGGACGUAUACGGUGUGACGCCUGCCCGGUGCCGGAAGGUUAAUUGAUGGGGUCAGCGCAAGCGAAGCUCCUGAUCGAAGCCCCGGUAAACGGCGGCCGUAACUAUAACGGUCCUAAGGUAGCGAAAUUCCUUGUCGGGUAAGUUCCGACCUGCACGAAUGGCGUAAUGAUGGCCAGGCUGUCUCCACCCGAGACUCAGUGAAAUUGAACUCGCUGUGAAGAUGCAGUGUACCCGCGGCAAGACGGAAAGACCCCGUGAACCUUUACUAUAGCUUGACACUGAACAUUGAGCCUUGAUGUGUAGGAUAGGUGGGAGGCUUUGAAGCGUGGACGCCAGUCUGCGUGGAGCCGACCUUGAAAUACCACCCUUUAAUGUUUGAUGUUCUAACGUGGACCCGUGAUCCGGGUUGCGGACAGUGUCUGGUGGGUAGUUUGACUGGGGCGGUCUCCUCCUAAAGAGU
rnacentral:rRNA from 1 species